rnacentral:antisense_RNA from 1 species
CCUGAGUUGGGUCGAUGAUGAGAACCUUAUAUUGUCCUGAAGAGAGGUGAUGACUUAAAAAUCAUGCUCAAUAGGAUUACGCUGAGGCCCAGUCUAGGUGAGAGUUUUGGAAGAGGAUGCUGGGAUCCUGAGGUCCCCUGGUUUUGGGCUAGAGACCUGGAGUCUCUGAGGGCAUCUAGAGGGGGCCCAACCCUGUCUCUGCACUCCUCCGUGAGGCAGACCAAGCUCACUAUGUGGGCUUGGUGUAGGCACUCCUGUUACCUGGGGGCGGGGCACUUUGGCGGCUCCUUCCCGAGCCCCGAUUAUUCCAUGUGUCUUUCUGUGAGCUCUUCUGCCCAGCAGACCCCCUGGCAUUGACCAGCAUAUUGAGCUCUUCUGCCCAGCAGCCUCCCUGGCAGUGACCAGCAUAGAUGCUGACCCUGGAGGAAGAAUUGCACUGGGCCCACUGGCCCCGGGCAAAUGUCCCUCAGCCAGGUGCUUAGCCCCUGGUAAGCUGAAGCUCAGGCCCUUCCUGAUGCCCUGGUCUCCUGC